rnacentral:rRNA from 1 species
GAUGAACGCUGGCGGCGUGCCUAAUACAUGCCAGUCGAGCGAACAGACGAGGAGCUUGCUCCUCUGACGUUAGCGGCGGACGGGUGAGUAACACGUGGAUAACCUACCUAUAAGACUGGGAUAACUUCGGGAAACCGGAGCUAAUACCGGAUAAUAUAUUGAACCGCAUGGUUCAAUAGUGAAAGACGGUUUUGCUGUCACUUAUAGAUGGAUCCGCGCCGCAUUAGCUAGUUGGUAAGGUAACGGCUUACCAAGGCAACGAUGCGUAGCCGACCUGAGAGGGUGAUCGGCCACACUGGAACGGAGACACGGUCCAGACUCCUACGGGAGGCAGCAGUAGGGAAUCUUCCGCAAUGGGCGAAAGCUUGACGGAGCAACGCCGCGUAAGUGAUGAAGGUCUUCGGAUCGUAAAACUCUGUUAUUAGGGAAGAACAAAUGUGUAAGUAACUAUGCACGUCUUGACGGUACCUAAUCAGAAAGCCACGGCUAACUACGUG